rnacentral:misc_RNA from 1 species
CGCUACAUCACGCGCAUUAGCGAGUCGAUAGAGAAUGGUUGUGCGCAUAUGUGUGUAUGCGUACACAUAUAUAUGUACAUACGUGUCUUUACGCUUGUGGCUUGUUCAGGGAUUCCGGGCUUUUCUCUCCAACGCACUGUGGCGCGAUGCCUGCGCUGGCUUCCGUCGAAGGAUGGUAGGGAUGCUGGUGGGCGGUGGCGAUGGUGGUGGGCGGCCUGCGUUUUUGUACGCUUCAUGUAGCUCUUCUCUUGCGUUCCCCCUUUUGUUUAUUUAUUCUUUGUGUACGGGUGUAUGGGAGGGAAAUUUAUUACUGUUAAAUUUUUUUUCUUUCAUUAUUAUUAUUGUAUUGUUGUUCGCUUAGAGGGUGAUGUUCUCCAUGUGUCCUUGUGUGCCUCUUUCUCUGCGUAGGACCCUCUGUGGACGUGUAGCCUCCACUCUCACCCGACACCAAUGUGAGGCGCCCUUCUCUCCGUUGUUGGGUGUGCGUGCUUUUACGACUCGUUUCCCUUUUUUAUUACUGUUAUUUUUCGUGCGGCUCUUUAUCGGGGUCGCUCUUGUGAUUGGUUCUCCCUUAGCGUCGCCGUCGCUACUUUGAUUUCUGUUUUCAGGGAAUUCAUCCACGUCUUUGUUUUCUUUUCCGAACUCGCGUCCUUCUCGCCUUUACACACCCGAAACCUCCUCCCCUCUUUCUUUGAGUGGGACGUCUCUCGCCUGACCCCGGCCCCUGGCUUCCCAGCGGAAGUGCGGACACGUCCGCCUUUCUCCCACGCGCGCAAGAGCCUUCCUCUCUGCAAUCGUCUUUGUGCUCGUCAUACUCCCCAUGUCUUCCCUGAUGGCGGAGGCCACCUCAGCGUGGUGUCGCAGGGUCCAGUGCCCCCACUCUGUGUGGGGAAGCCACGCAGCCCCCACCUAACCCCUGCCAAUGCCGAACCACCUCUGGUGGUGGCAGGGGCAAGCACCUACGAGCUGGGGGGGGUCAGAGCGCUUCAUCGCCACGGAUAUCGGCGGUCGGGUCCUGGACGGCGGUGCGUCAGAGCGGGCUGCGACAGCGCACGCGUCCGUGCCACCCAUGUGAUGGACAGCGUGUCAGCGUGACUCGAGCUAUCCCACGCCGGGCCGUCGCACUGCCUGCUGCUGGGGAGCCUGCGCCAUCGCGAGGGAUGCACCAGGGGUGGCAACCGGCACGAUGGGAGCGACUGUGAGGCGACCUGGGAGGCGGGUGGGCGGGGUAUGAGGCAGCGGCCGUGCUCGCAGAUGACUGAGCCGGCGCACUGCCGUAGCGCGUGUGUACCGCUACUUCGCACCACGCGGGAUGGGCCUGUGGCAGGGCGGGCCGAGUGGAUUGGAGCUCAUGAUGUACGACACUGGACGGACACGUGGAGGAAAAGAAAAAGCUCACCACGUCUGCGCUUACACACUUUUUUCAACCACUCAGUUGACAUACACUAGCUUUCUGCGCGCAUGAUUGGUCGACGCGUGCCUUUGCCAUGAGAGGUCUGAAGAAUGACAUGCUUGUAUGCACUUCCGGAGGUGUUCGCGGGCAAAAAAAAAGAAAACCGGAAGACUCAGGUCAGAGGAGGGAGCAGACGGAACAUGAUGUCUAGCGGAAGUGAACGACAUGCAAGACAAGAGAAAUAAGCCACCUUUGAGCCUUAGCAUACGGAGAACAACAAAAUCAGAAAUCGAAACAACAAAAUGUGUGCCGAGAAGCUUACGGGCAAUGCUUCAUAAUAGGAGGAAGCGUCCUGGCUGCGUAAACGAGCGUGAAAAAAAGGGGUGAUGGGUGUAGAGGGGAGGCGGCCAAGGCAGAGCUGCAGGCGGUGGUGGAGAGCAAGAACUUCCUGCGGAGGGGGCGGACACGAGAGACACGGUGUGCUGUUGUCGAGGAUGUCGAAACACGGCCGGCUCUCUCUGUGUGCGUGUGCGCGUAGGUGCAUAGCACCUGCACGCCCCUCUAUUUAUCUCUCUGGACCGCCUCCCCUUUUCCCUCCCGCACAUCUCCCUCCCGCACAAAUCCCUUUCUUGCUCAAAGAUGGCGAUUGAGGUGGCGGCCUCCCCGCCUCGCGCCAUCUGCUGCGGCUGCAGCCUAGGUACUGCGUGCCACCUCCCUCCUACCCUUUGCACAGUUGGUUGCAUGCACAGCUUCCCCAUCGCACCCGCCUUCGAGCGCUCCUCAACUCUCCACCACCACCGCCUCCUCGCUAUUUCUGCCUGCCACCUACAUGGAUACAAUACCUGCUUUCUCUCCCUCUUCGCGCCCUAUCGUGGGUUGGUGUCCUCUCUGCCACCCCGCCCCCGCUCUGCACCGACGCAACACACAG